rnacentral:rRNA from 1 species
UCGGGAAUUUUGGGCAAUGGGGGAAACCCUGACCCAGCAACGCCGCGUGAAGGAUGAAGUAUUUCGGUAUGUAAACUUCGAAAGAAUAGGAAGAAUAAAUGACGGUACUAUUUAUAAGGUCCGGCUAACUACGUGCCAGCAGCCGCGGUAAUACGUAGGGACCAAGCGUUGUUCGGAUUUACUGGGCGUAAAGGGCGCGUAGGCGGCAUGACAAGUCACUUGUGAAAUCUCUGGGCUUAACCCAGAACGGCCAAGUGAUACUGUCGCGCUAGAGUGCAGAAGGGGCAAUCGGAAUUCUUGGUGUAGCGGUGAAAUGCGUAGAUAUCAGGAGGAAUACCGGAGGCGAAGGCGGAUAGCUGGGCCAACACUGACGCUGAGACCCGAAAGCGUGGGGAUCAAACAGGAUUAGAUACCCUCGUAGUCCCUGAGCGGGCUGGCAAGGCGCAU